GACAAAAUGCUUCAACAUUGUAUUUAUGAAAGGACUGGUACCAUGUAUAGCCUCUACAUUUUAAAUAACAGUCUGUAUAAUGGUGUAAAUAAGCCUUUUGAAUACCAUGAUUUCUUUUGCUGCUAGGAUACUACUGCUAGGAUAACCUUUUAAACUUGUCAGCCACACACUCCCAGGCCCUACUGUUUUCUUUGCCUUGCGGUGACUUGUUCUUCAUCCCUGGUGCAGGUCAUUCAAACUUUUAUUUACUGCAAUAAGUGAAAGAUUACAUUUUGUGGAGACCUAAUACCUAACAAGAAGACCUCUGUAAAGUCAUUCACACAGUAACAUGCAUAUCUGUCGUGAACUCCAGAAAUCAGUUACUGCCCCAAAAUACACAAGUCAUGUAGGCAAUGAUGAGUUAAUGAUUGAGGUCAAAAUCAAGUUCCCAGUGUCAGGAAAGAACUAAUGUAUUUUAAGUGGCUUUACAUGAAGUAGUCCACACCAUUGUCUGCAUGCCUAAGUAGCUCAGCAUGUGACUCCCAUUAGCACUUGAAAGGAGUGUGAUAUAACAAAUCCCUCAUCAUCAAAAUGGGAAUAUACCCUUGCAUUUUAGCACAUUCCAAGGAAACCUAGAGCAAUGUACUCAUUGUGACUAAAGGCGGGUGGUUUCCAGAUGCUCUUUGGUCAGUCAGUUAACUGGGGAUUGUGCAUAGUGUUGUUCCUCAAAUUGCAGCCUUCCUUAUGCUGCUCAUUCUGCAAAACAAAUACCAGUGCUCCCCGCGAUGAAACUUAAGAAUAAAAGGCAGCAGGGUUUCCCUGUUCUGAUUGCUUGUGACUCAGGAGCUUGGACUUUGUUACGCCAAAGAGUAUUGACUUUUCAUUACUGGAAUUAUGAGAAGAUUCUGGGUACAAGAAAAAGCAAAUUUUCUUUCAGUGUAAGCAGGUUCCCUGUGCAGACCAGGAAGAGCUCAGUUCAGCAUCCUCAGCAUGAUGCUAAGAAAAGGUGGUCUUCCAGAUUUUCAGAGCAGGCACCAGAGAGAUGAUGUAGUCCAGUCACA
rnacentral:lncRNA from 1 species